CUCCACCCUCUGAAGUCACAGCCUGAGCUCUAUAUUGGCUCCGGCCUGGCCCACGAAACCACUUUUUCCUCCUGGGCCUCUGGGCCUGUGAUGGGAAGGGCUGCUGUGAAGGUCUCUGACAUGGCCAUGGAGGCAUUUUCCCCAUGGUCUUGGGGAUUAACAUUAGGCUCCUUCCUACUUAUGCAAAUAUCUGCAGCCAGCUUUAAUUUCUUCUCAAAAAAUGGGUUUCUCUUUUCAACUGCAUUGUCAGGCUGCA
rnacentral:lncRNA from 1 species